rnacentral:rRNA from 1 species
GUAGGGAAUAUUGGGCAAUGGAGGCAACUCUGACCCAGCCAUGUCGCGUGCAGGAAGACGGUCCUCUGGAUUGUAAACUGCUUUUGAAUGGGAAGAACACUACCCUUGCGAGGGUAUUUGACGGUACUAUUAGAAUAAGCACCGGCUAACUCCGUGCCAGCAGCCGCGGUAAUACGGAGGGUGCAAGCGUAUCCGGAAUCACUGGGUGUAAAGGGUACGUAGGCGGUUAAUUAAGUCAGUAGUGAAAGACUGUCGCUAAACGACGGAGGUGCUAUUGAUACUGGUUAACUUGAAUCAGGUUAGAGUUGGAGGAAUGGGUCAUGUAGCGGUGAAAUGCUUAGAUAUGACUUGGAACGCCGAUAGCGAAGGCAGCUGACUGUGCCUUGAUUGACGCUGAGGUACGAAAGUGUGGGUAGCGAACAGGAUUAGAUACCCCUGUAGUCC